rnacentral:rRNA from 1 species
UACGUAGGUGACGAGCGUUAUCCGGAAUUACUGGGCGUAAAGCGCACGCAAGCGGUUGGACAAGUCUGGCGUGAAAUCUCCUGGCUUAACUAGGAGCGGUCGCUGGAAACUGUUCGGCUUGAGGCGAUGAGAGGGGUGCAGAAUUCCCGGUGUAGUGGUGGAAUGCGUAGAGAUCGGGAGGAAUACCAGUGGCGAAAGCGGCACCCUGGCGUCGUACUGACGCACAGGUGCGAAAGCGUGGGGAGCGAACGGG